GGGGAGGGGACCAGGAGUGACCGGAGGACGGUGGUGGAGGGUCGUGGCUCUUUGAAGGAGGGGAAGAUACAGCUGCUUGGCCCACCCAAAGCCUAAAGGAAGUCAGGGUCACCUGCCCUAAAGGGCCCCCUCCCCACCCCCCACCACAACGUGGCGUCACAGAGGAGUCAAGACUAGACAAGGUGCUGAUCAGGUUGGCUUCGGGGCCUGCAGGUGUGGUGCGGAGGUGACCCACGCCGCGAGUGUAGGGACGCAGAGAACAGGCGGCCAGAGCCAAGCCUGACCUGAGCACCGUGGCUGGGCACACAGGCAGGAGGAGACAGACCACUCGAAGCCGCCCGGGUGUCCUUCGAGCAGGCCGGCUGGGAGCCGCCCGGCGCGGUGACGCUGAGUGGGUGGAGACUGUUGGUAACGGGGCCUCGCCGGGGUGGAAGCAGCGACGGCGCCGAAACUGGCCCAAGUCCCCCUCGAGACUCUCGGCCCUCGGGAGACGGAAUCUGGCAACGCCCCGUGGGGAAGAGGAAGAAGAGAGGAGACGGUCUGGGAUGUGAUGACGCCCACGGCGGCCAGAGGAAGUGCAGCGAGCCUUCCUCGGGAGCCGGAAGGUUCCAGGUGUGGCUUUCCAGGUGUGGCCCAGACAGGCUGAGCCACGAGCUUCCCACAGCCUCGAAGGCCCCGGUCAGCACCGGAGUCCAGUGUCCCUGCUGCUUCUGCCUCCCUCGGCCGACGGCGAAGGAAUGAAGGGUGACAUGGAGCCGCCAGUAACUUGUUAAAUCGAAAUGCGUUAAUAAAAUAAAAACAAAUACAAGUGCUCCG